rnacentral:rRNA from 1 species
UGCAGUCGAGCGCAUCCUUCGGGGUGAGCGGCAGACGGGUGAGUAACGCGUGGGAACGUACCCUUUGCUACGGAAUAGCUCCGGGAAACUGGAAUUAAUACCGUAUGAGCCCUUCGGGGGAAAGAUUUAUCGGCAAAGGAUCGGCCCGCGUUGGAUUAGCUAGUUGGUGGGGUAAAGGCCUACCAAGGCGACGAUCCAUAGCUGGUCUGAGAGGAUGAUCAGCCACAUUGGGACUGAGACACGGCCCAAACUCCUACGGGAGGCAGCAGUGGGGAAUAUUGGACAAUGGGCGCAAGCCUGAUCCAGCCAUGCCGCGUGAGUGAUGA